GUCCGCUCCCUCUCGGCGGCCAUUAUUUUAUCUUUCUGUCCGUAUGAGGCAAUGCAGCAGAUCACAUCUCUGGGGUUGCCAUCCUGUCUCACUGGGCACAGUGCUCUGUGUGCCCUUUCUAUGUGUUUCAGGGGCUUGAUCACCUAGAAGCUGUUUAAAUAAAUCAAUUAGUGUGGCCUGGAGCGGUUCUGUGCCUGCCUCUGGCAGGCCUCGGACCCGUAUGUUGUUCCGCCUACUCCUCUUCUCCAAGUCCUCCACUUGCCUGCGUAGCGUGAGGAGCAUGUUGUCCUGUCUGGUAACCGCCACCUCUGUCGCUCUGUGUUGCUCCUUGCAACCCUGUGCGGUUCUCUCCAUUUCAUCCACCUUUUGUUCAAGCGCUGUCAGAUCGGAGCGCAUGUCGGCAAGUUCUACAAGUAGGGCUGCGCAGAUUUCCUGGACUAAGGAGCCAGUGUCUGCU